rnacentral:lncRNA from 1 species
UUUUUUCAAGAAAAGCUUUAACCGUGUACCCCUGAUACUCCUUAUCUCCUUCCAAAAAAGCGUGCAGACGGGUUUUGGAUUUGGAUACAAAUUCUUCGACUCUUUCAAUCUCCUCUAAAGGAAAACUUUAGCAUGUGUCAAUUCAGCAAGAGCUGUGCGUAGUUCCGUCUGUCUUUUACCUGAUUGACUUGUUCCAGAGGAAAUGCUCCCUCUUGACCGCAAACUCCCUUCUAAAGUGGAUGGACGACCGACACCAAAAAUACGAUUCAGUUGAUUCAAAAAUGGUGUCAAAGGAGCAGGAGCAUGAGCACUAUAAAAGUUGGUGCUCUGCAUGCAUAACCAAUGUUAGAUCAAAGAGAGAGAGAGAGAAAGAAAAAGAUAAAAGAUAAAGGGUUACUAUCAUAUUUAAUAUUACCGUUAAGCGCUUGUGAGUCUUUCUCAAUCUCUCGCAAUAUUGCUGACACGUAACUUCCAAGCCUUCCUGGUAAUCUGAGCGGGUGUUCCGACACAAAGUCAUAGCAAAAUUUAACCAGAAUUUCCUAUUCUUCAUAGAUCCCUUGGUUCCCAUGGACCCCAAGGUCCGGUCAGCGCUUCAUUCAACUAAGAUAUGAUUGUGGAAGACUUGGUUAAAGAAGACUUGGUUGAAGAAA